AGCGAACGCUGGCGGCAGGCCUAACACAUGCAAGUCGAGCGGCCGUAGCAAUACGGCAGCGGCAGACGGGAGAGUAACACGUGGGGACGCGCCCUUCGGUUCGGAAUAACUCAGGGAAACUUGAGCUAAUACCGGAUACGCCCUUACGGGGAAAGAUUUAUUGCCGGAGGAACGGCCCGCGUCCGAUUAGCUUGUUGGUGAGGUAACGGCUCACCAAGGCGACGAUCGGUAGCUGGUCUGAGAGGAUGACCAGCCUCACUGGGACUGAGACACGGCCCAGACUCCUACGGGAGGCAGCAGUGGGGAAUAUUGGACAAUGGGCGCAAGCCUGAUCCAGCCAUGCCGCGUGGGUGAUGAAGGCCCUAGGGUUGUAAAGCCCUUUCAGCGGGGAAGAUAAUGACGGUACCCGCAGAAGAAGCCCCGGCUAACUUCGUGCCAGCAGCCGCGGUAAUAC
rnacentral:rRNA from 1 species